rnacentral:sRNA from 1 species
GAAUGAAUACGUUGGGAGCUAGUGCAAACGCAACAGUUUUGUAAGGCAUACCGCAAAAAAUGUUCCCAAGGUAAAUUGCUGGUUGGUAUUGCCUCACAGGUCUGUUGCGUGUGCUUUUUAUUUGAUGAAUUCUAACUGAAUUGGUAGCACAUGAAUCCCAUAAUAACGAACCGGUUACAACAUAAGCUAGGAUAUAGCUUUAAAC